rnacentral:rRNA from 1 species
AUUGAACGCUGGCGGCAUGCCUAACACAUGCAAGUCGAGCGGAGCGGCGGACGGGUGAGUAAUGCCUAGGAAUCUGCCCGUUAGUGGGGGAUAACGUUCGGAAACGGGCCCUAAUACCACAUACUAUCAGAUGAGCCUAGGGCGGAUUAGAUAGUUGGUGGGGUAAAGGCAUACCAAGGCGACGACCCGUAACUGGACUGAGAGGAUGAUCAGUCACACUGGGACUGAGACACGGUCCAGACUCCUACGGGAGGCAGCAGUGGGGAAUAUUGGACAAUGGGCGAAAGCCUGAUCCAGCCAUGCCGCGUGUGUGAAGAAGGUCUUCGGAUUGUAAAGCACUUUGAGUUGGGAAGCGGUACCAACAGAAUAAGCACCGGCUAACUACGUGCCAGCAGCCGCGGUAAUUC